rnacentral:lncRNA from 1 species
CACACUUACUGUUAUUGUUUACAUACAUUUUUUAUUUUUGUAUUAUGUUUCCUGGUGUGGCAAGUAGCCCAGAGCUAUAGUUUGGUAUUUGGAAACCUUAGAUUACAAAAAAGUGAGUUAAAUUCAGUAUGUUAUGUUAUUUUGUAAAGAACUAGGCGUUCGCUUAGUUAUCGUUAUGAUUAGUAUGUGUAUUUUUACAAAAACGCCUACUUGUCCAAUAAUGCAACCAUGUAACUCUUGUUUAUCAGGGCUUAUUUUGACUUAAUGAAGUAUGCAUGCAAAAUAAUUAUUGACACAAUGCAUAAUCAUGAUAUUUUAACAGAUUCACGAUAAACGCCCGUUGUUAAUGUUUCGAAGUAUGCUACACAAGAAUGUGUAUUUCAUUCAUACAGUGCUGGACUAAUGUAACGUUCAAUUUCAUACGCUUGGGUUUUUAGAAACUUUAUAACGGUACAGAUGCAACUUACAUGUUGACACUUUUCGUGUAUUUUUUUUAUACUGUAUUUAUUUCUGCAUAUUGUUUUGACUAGUUCAAUUCUAUUUAUGCCUUAUCUUCAUAUAUAGUGCUUCACGAUUCAAAUGUACCUUUAAGACAGCACAGAGCAGCGAAACAUAGAAAAAACAACGACUUCAUAUAUUAAAAAACAGUUUUUGUAUUGUACACUCAGUUUUUCAACAUGCUUUAAGGGUCAUUACAACGUUAUACUGUUAAUAUUGUUGUUAUAAACAGUGCAGUCAAUAAAUGUUUUGCAAUUGUUUUGAAAACUUGUGUUUGUCAUUUGUACCUAAUGAUCUAAUCACAAUUAUCAAAUCACUCGUAUUUCACCAGUAAAUCAUAAUAGUUAUCAAAGGUACCAGGCUUAUAACUAAGUACGCCAGACGCGCGUUUCGUCUACAUAUAUAUAUAAGACUCGUCAGUGACGCUCAGAUCGAAAUAGUUAUAAAGCCAAACAAGUACAAAGUUGAAGAGUGAAAAUGUCAAAAAGGUGUGCCAAAUACGGCUAAGGUAAUCUAUGCCUGGGAGAAAAUCCGCAUGGAAUAAAAUAAACAAUUAAACUAUUGCAUCACGUUACUGCAUAGGAACAGGGCAGUAUAUAGUCUUUUUUCUUUAUAUUACAUGUAGUUGUGCUUCAUUCCAGACUGAUUGUUAAAAUAUUCGACAAUAAAAAAAUAUUUCAAUUUAUAUUUCAUAAUCGCUAUGAAACAUGAUAAAUAUGUAUAUUUAUCAGUAACAAUAUUUAAUAUAGAUAUGAUUAAUGUAUGUUUUAUUUCUGUUGAUUUGUUUCAGAUUGUAAAUAUGAGGUUAUGAGACUAGUGAUUAUGUCCCAUCAUUGUGAUUUUCGUCAAAUGGGAGAUUAUGAUGUUUGAAAAUGGCGGGCUAUCGUCAUCAUCUACCAUAUUAAAAAAUAAAUCACAUUUUUUUCUUAAACGACGAUUCCGAAUCGGACAGAUGCUGGGUAAAGAAGGUGAUAGAUUCUCUUAAUGUCUUAGGAUACUCCAGUGGGUGUAUCACUGAUAAUUUCAAUUUCAAACAACCAAAUAGUAUAUUUGAGAACAUUGAAACAACAGUAGAACAAUCAGCCAUAUUUGCUUUUGUUAUUUCGCAAAACUCGGAAAAGUCGAAAAAAUUUAGACACCUUCUUGAGAUUGCUGUGAUUUUGAUAAUACAAUCUGAUGAAGAGAAACCAAUGCUCCCCAUAUUGCUAGAUAAUACUGAAAUCCCCAAAUGUUUACUCAAUAUCCAGCCAUUAAUUGCUACCGGAUCAAGACAUAAAUGGUGGCCAAAAUUGAUGAGUGUUGUAGAAUUACAUUGCAGUGUUUCGAGCAGUGAAGAAUCAGACGAAGAUUUAAAAGCGUUGCAAGAACAAAUCAACAUAACACUUACAACGAAAAGCAAACGGAAACAGGAGAAAUUUAGAAAAAGAGUUUCACAAAGCAGCCAGAUACAAAGCACAAGUGUAGUAGUUACAAACACAUCUUUGUACAAACGAAUGUGGGGCUAAGAUGACCACGUUUUACUUUUUGAAAAAAUGAACAUAACAAUUUAAAGUUUUAAAGCAACCGUUUUUAAUGUCGUAUUCAAAUUUAAAAAUCUGAGUGUUCAUCUGACUUAUACAACGAUUUUGUUAAUUUGUUUCACUUAAUUUGUUUGGACAAGUUUUACACACACACUUAAAAUAUGUAUGUUCCUUUGACAUAUACAUCGAUUAUGUUUGUAUGUUUUGUAUGUUAUAUUAUUAGGAUACGUUUAAUACUUUAACUGAGAAUUGUGAUGUUCCUGUGACUUAAAUACCGAUUGUGUUUGUAUGUUUUGUCACAAAUAUUAAUAGAACAAGUUUUAUACUAACACGGAGAAAUUGAACAUUCUUGUGACUAAUACAUCGAUUAUGUUUGUAUUUUUAUACUAAUACUGAUAAUUUUUAUGCAUCUUUGAUCUUUACAUCGGUUUUGUUUGACAAUGUAUGUUUUUCACUGAUAUAUGUUUGGCUAGUUUCAUACACUUACAGAGAAUGUGCAUUUUUCUGUGACGUACUAUCUAUUUAUUUCACGUCACUGGACGGAGUCAAACCCAUUUGAUGAUUGUAUAACAGUCCAUGUGUAGACUGCAGGUGUUUUGGGAUAACUCAUCAAUGAAGUGUCCAGUUAUGGUCAUUGAUCCAGUUACACUAUUUGUGUAUUCUCUAAUUAAUAAUUGGACAAAGCCGUUGAUCUUGUUGUAAAACAGAGUUUACAAACAUAAAAAUUGUCACGUUUUGAAACUUGUGGAUACGAAAGUAACUCCAUAACGACGUCAGUUGCAAUUCUGCAUAUGUCGUUAUUCUAAAAUGUUUUGGUGAAAUUGAUUUGUGAUUAAAAAUUAAUAAUAAUAAUAAUUAUAACGGCAAUGAUCCUUAUCACACACAUUUUCCAAUAGAUCGUCCUUAUGUAAAUUGAAAUUUAAGCUCCCCCCGGUCAGUUGAAAAUACAUUGGUAAUAUACUAAACGGAAACCUUGUAAAGUUGAAAUUAAUGUCACACAAAGCCUAUUAACGUUUUGCUUAUUGCUUGCUUAUUGUUUGGAAAGUUUAGCAUGAUAGGAUACAUGUUACUAUGUUUAAUUGUAAUUUGUUUUAUAAUUACUCGUUACGAUUCAUUUGUAUGACUGAGCUACUAGUAAAAAAAGAACAGUAUAUAUGUAUAUGCAUCUGCGAUGCAAUAUGUCAUAUGAUGUGUUAUAUAUUUUGUUACAUAUAUUUAUUUUCUGAUUAGAAUAAUUUGCUUAAAACUAAUUUGCAAAUCGUUUUUCUGUGAUCACAAACAGCAAGCACCCUGACCGAGAAGCUAAUCAUUAAAGAGUUCUAUUCCAAAGAACAAAC